GGCGGGGCUUUUGUCUCUCGCUGCAGCCAGAGCUUGGGAUCGCUUUCUGCUAUUCAACGUCCUCCACCUCUGCCCCCCUCUCGCCCCAGCCGGUGACAGGCUGUUGCCCUGUGAUCUGCAGGUCCUGGGACGUGCACAGACAGCUAAGAUGCCAGGACAUUCCAGAAGGUGGGAAAGGCACCUGAGUAAUUUGACUCUCCUGCCUGGACCCAGCGUACAGAUGGGAUUGUGCUUCAUUGCUGGACCCAGCAUUUAGGGAUCGUCACUCCCGUGGAUGAUCAAAGCUACUCCGGGGGCUGAGGCAGGAGAAUCGCUUGAACUCGGGAAGCAGAAGUUGCAGUGAGCCAAGGUCGCACCACUGCACUCCAGCCCAGGCGACAUUGUGAGACUCCAUCUCAAAAAAAAAAAAAAGAAAAAAAGUGUACUAACAAGACCCAGCACACAGAGGAGACUUUUACCAUUGUAUGAACACCCAUCAAACAGUACACAUCAUCAUUGUGAGUUCUGAAUCUCACACAUAGAGGAAGUCAAAGGUGGAAAACUUGACUCUCAUAUUUGGAUCCAGUCCACAGGUGUGAUUUUGACGCACACUUCUGCCCAGCACCUGAGUAAUGUGAUUCUUCAGAAUUGGCCCGGCCCACAAAUAGGAUUGUGCCACACUGCUGGACCCAGUGCCUAAGUGAUGUAACUCUAUUCUUCUGCCUUGGUGCUACUCGAAAAAGACAUUGUAACAUAUCUCAGAGCCUUACACCCAGGUAAUGUGAGUCUCCUCUUCUGCCUUGCUGCUGCACACAGAAGCGGAAUAUGUACAGGAUUGUUAAUCUCAUCUUGGAUCUUCCUGCACUUGUGAUUGUGACACAUGCCUCUGUGUAGAACCUGAGUGAGUUUACUCUCCUGCCUGGAUUUAACCCAUAGAUGGAAUCGUGACAUAUCACUGUACCAGAAACUAGGUGAUGUGACUCUAUUUUCUUGCCUCUGUGUUUUUAUAUGGGGCAUCGUGACAUAUCACUGGGCCUUGCACCCAAGUGAUGGGAGUUUUCUCUCCUGCUUUGGUGCCGUCCACAAUGAAAAUUGUGAAAUAUUGCUGCCCUCCCCACUAGGUUAUGUUACUCUCCUGCCUCUGCUUUGCCCACAUGGGUCACUGUGACAUAUUGCUGGGUCUAAAACCCAGGUAAUGUCACUCUCUUGUUUGGGUUCUGCCUGCAGGAGUCAUUGUCACAUAUCUCUAUGCUCAUCACCCAGGUAAUAUGAUUCCCUUUUACUGCUUAGUUCCUUCUCACAAAACAACUUGUGACAUAUUGCUAGGCCCAAUACACCUAGCUGGUGUAACUCUUCUUUUCUUUUCUUUCCUUUUUUUUUUUUUUUUUUUGAGAUGGAGUCUCACUCUGUUGCCCAGGCUGGAGUGCAGCGGCAUGAUUUCAGCUCACUACAGCCUCUGCCUCCUAGGUUGAAGCGAUUGUCCUGACUUGGCCUCCCAAGUAGCUGGGAUUAAAGGCAUGUGCCACCACGCCCGGCUAAUUUUUGUAUUUAUAGUAGAGACAGGGUUUCGCCAUGUUGGCUAGGCUGGUUUCGAACUUCUAACCUCAGGUGAUCCUCCUGCCUCGGCCUCCCAAAGUACUGGAAUUACAGGCAUGAGCCACUGCACCUGGCCUGAUUCUUCUCUUCUUUCUAGGUUUCAACUGCAGCAGAGAUUGUAACAAACCACUGGGCCCAGCCGCAUAAUGAUGUUACUCUUUUGCCUUGGGCCUGCCCUCAGAAGGCACUGUCACAUAUUCAUGGGCCCAACGCCAAGGUGAUAUGUGUCUCCAGCCUGGACCCUGCCCACAGGGGGCAUUGUGACAUAUCUCUUGGCCCAUCAGAUGUUUGAUUGUUAUCCCCUCCCCUCUUCUACCCUGUGUUUGCCUAUAAAAGACACAGUCAUAUGUUCCUGGGCCCAGCACCUAGGUGUUGUCUUACUGGAAUGUGUCCACAUGGGGAUUGUGAUAUGUCACGUGGCCCAGUACUUAACUUGAUGUGACUCUCCUCUCAUGCCUAGGCCUUGUAGAGAAUCCCCUUCCCCUUUUGUUUUCCUUUUUUUCUUUGCAGAUCCAGGAGAUAAUCAACUAAGAGCCAGGCACCCGUUUAGGUCUAAUAAACAUUUUACAAACUGCUCUCUCUUUUAAUUCACCUAUCUGAGAGAUUCCUCUGUACAAUAAAACUUGGUCUCCACAAUCCUUUACCUUAACCUAAACCUUCCCUUUCAUUGAUCCCAGGUCUUCAGAUUCCACCACUUGUCAACCACAAAAUAUUUAAAUUUACCUGGAAGCCGCCCGCUUUGAGUUGUCCCGCCUUUCUGAACCAAACCAAUAUAUUCCUGCAAAACCGGCCAUGAUUAAAACAUC
rnacentral:lncRNA from 1 species